rnacentral:rRNA from 1 species
CCUACGUGCGGCAGCAGUAGGGAAUCUUUCACAAUGGGCGAAAGCCUGAUGGAGCAACGCCGCGUGCAGGAUGAAGGCCUUCGGGUUGUAAACUGCUUUUAUAAGCGAGAAAUAUGAUGGUAACUUAUGAAUAAGGAUCGGCUAACUACGUGCCAGCAGCCGCGGUCAUACGUAGGAUCCGAGCAUUAUCCGGGGUGACUGGGUGUAAAGAGUUGCGUAGGUGGGAUAAUAAGUAGCUAGGGAAAUCUGGUGGUUCAACCAUUCAGACUAUUAGCUAAACUGUUAAGCUCGGGACCGUUAGGGGUAAAUGGAAUUUCUAGUGUAGGGGGGAAAUCCGUAGAUAUUAGGAAGAACACCAAGGGCGUAGGCAGGUUACUGGGACGGUUCUGACGCUAAGGCACGAAAGCGUAGGGAGCAAACGGGAUUAGAUACCCCGGUAGUC